rnacentral:tRNA from 1 species
GAAAGGUACCCAAAACCGAGUGGCAAACUCAGCGAAAGUAUUCUUUCCCC